GGAUCGGGACCUUGUUCAUCACAGAUCCUGGACUCUAACCUGGACUGAGACACCAAGGUCGGUGGAUAACAUCAGCUCUGUGGCUGUCCUGAAGCAUGCAGGUGGCAAGGUGCUGGAGAGCUGUGUGGAGGUGCCAUUGUUGGCCAAGCCAUUCUGCGUCCCGGAAGCACGUUACUAAGCAACUCGUGGAGACCAUUAGCCUGACGUGGCACUUCUUUCUGGUUGAAAAGCAGUCUUACGGAGGCUGAAACCUGGCAGAGGCCAUCACUCCGUGCAGAUCCAGGACCGCAGUAUGCAGAGGGCUGGGGGAUGGGAACAUCUGAAUGGGCUGAAGUUAAAGCAAAAAGAGACUGUGGCAGAGCUGAGUUCUGGACGGAGCUCUGGAAGAAACCAAAAAGAAG